AUUGAACGCUGGCGGCAUGCCUUACACAUGCAAGUCGAACGGCAGCACGGGAGCUUGCUCCUGGUGGCGAGUGGCGAACGGGUGAGUAAUGCAUCGGAACGUACCCGGAAGUGGGGAUAACGUAGCGAAAGUUACGCUAAUACCGCAUAUUCUGUGAGCAGGAAAGAGGGGGAUCGCAAGACCUCUCGCUUUCGGAGCGGCCGAUGUCGGAUUAGCUAGUUGGUGGGGUAGAGGCCUACCAAGGCGACGAUCCGUAGCGGGUCUGAGAGGAUGAUCCGCCACACUGGAACUGAGACACGGUCCAGACUCCUACGGGAGGCAGCAGUGGGGAAUUUUGGACAAUGGGCGAAAGCCUGAUCCAGCCAUGCCGCGUGAGUGAAGAAGGCCUUCGGGUUGUAAAGCUCUUUCGGCUGAAAAGAAAUCGCACAGGCUAAUACCCUGUGUGGAUGACGGUAUCAGCAUAAGAAGCACCGGCUAACUCUGUGCCAGCCGCCGCGGUAA
rnacentral:rRNA from 1 species